GCGACUGUUCUCCGCACCCGCUAUCCCAACGGCCAUGGCCUCCGCCGCCGUCCUCCGCGCCGGCCUCCUCGCGGCGCCCCCUCGGCUAUCCGCCUCCUCGCCGCCGCCAUUCUUCGCCACUUCGUCCUACGCCCGUGUACCGCGCCUCACGGCAGCUGCACGCGCCGCACGGUACCGGCGACGGGGCCGGGCGAGCCGCGCGGCGGCGGCGAUCACCGCGUCGUGGCUCGACCUCACCGAGGACAACGUCAGGCUCGCCCUAGAAGAAGCCAAAUCCGAGCUUGGGCAGCUGUUCGACACGUCGGUGGGAAUCACAGGGCAGGUCGAUCUCGCGGAGUUGGACGGUCCGUUCGUGAAGCUCCGGCUCAAGGGCAAGUUCUGGCACACCCGCGCCACCGUGGUAGCGAGGAUCGGCAACUACCUCAAGAACCGCAUCCCGGAAAUAUUGGAAGUGGAGAUAGAGGACGAGAAACAAUUGGAUGAUAGCCCGGCUGCUUUCUGAGUGAUGUCGGUAGACAAUUCGCAGGAUGAGAAUAUGCCCGCAAAUAUAGUCAACUUGCGCAUUAGCAUCCAUUCAGCGGUCAAGCGUCAUGGAACUUCCAGCAAUGCAACUCUGGCAUCUGACAGACAGAUGGUACGGACGGAUCCAGCGCCCAUCUCUGUCUGGGCCAUGUAGAUUCGCCUGCCUCUGCCUGGAACUGCGAGGUCCAACUCGCCAUGAUCGCUCUCGGGAUCAAUGAUAACCCCCCGUGCACUGACUGCACUACUGGCGACCGGACCUAUCCUGUCAGCGGCGGCGUGUCGCUUUUGUCCGGGUCCAACGUUGCUAUGGUCCUCUCGCUCCGGCUCUCAACCAGGCCACCAGUUCCAGAGCUCGAUGAUGCCUUGGGCGGGCUCACGGCUAAUCAUGCGGUUAGUGGUGUGUUCAGGGAAGGAAUCUUCACUUAAUUGCCCCCAAAGUAUCAUUAGUUUCCUCUCUCUCUCUCCAUUUUAUUUUUGAAAGUUUAGUCGUGCGAGCCAGACCGCAUCAUUGAGCUGGAUUCCUUGCACGGGGAGAAGAGAGGAUCAUUGCUGCGGUUGGGCUCUCCCUCUCCUCAGGUUGCUUCCGAAUAAUUCAGUGCAGGACUGCAGGUCCAGUGUAUGCUGCCCGUACUUGUUUACUCAGGCUAGGCUCGGAUUGUCGGCCAGAUUAGCGAGGCUGCACUUGUUUACAAGAUGCCGCGGGAAUAGCCAACGAAAGGCGCCACGAGACGCGGCUUUGGUUGGGUCCCUCCUCCGUUGUAUUGGAAUAUUGGAUUGAUGGAGAAGCCACAGAGAAGACUAGCGUCUCGCAAAUGGCGCCAUUAGAGCAGGGUCUCGGUGUGAAACGGUCGUGCCUGAAGUCUCCGCUACCGCAUGUGACACCACGUGAGGCGAUCUUGCUCGCAAUGCUUCCAAAGACCAGAGUUAGGUGUUCAGGAGCUGCGAGUGGUUGGGCUUGUCAUGAAUAUAAUUGUUCACUGCUCUACUCUAUGCAUGGUUGUGUUGAGGUCAUCUCGGCCGUGUUCA